UACAGAGGUCUCAAGCGUUGUUCGGAUUCAUUGGGCGUAAAGGGUGCGUAGGCGGCGCGGUAAGUCGGGUGUGAAAUCUCGGAGCUUAACUCCGAAACUGCAUUCGAUACUGCCGUGCUUGAGGACUGGAGAGGAGACUGGAAUUUACGGUGUAGCGGUGAAAUGCGUAGAUAUCGUAAGGAAGACCAGUGGCGAAGGCGAGUCUCUGGACAGUUACCGACGCUGAGGCACGAAGGUCAGGGGAGCAAACGGG
rnacentral:rRNA from 1 species